rnacentral:rRNA from 1 species
ACAUGCCUACAACAUAGCAUUAAUGCACCGGAUCCCAUUAGAACUCCGUAAUUAAGCAUGCUCAGGCUAGAGUAGUACUGGGAUGGGUGACCGCCUAGAAAUUCCUACUAUUUUACAUGCC